AGCAUCAUGGCGCAGCAGGAAGCGCGCAGGGCUCAUAACCCUGAGGUCGUCUGAUCGAAACGGACUGAUGCUA
rfam:Mucor circinelloides f. lusitanicus CBS 277.49 MTCCIscaffold_04, whole genome shotgun sequence.